rnacentral:rRNA from 1 species
ACGGCAGCACGGGAGCAAUCCUGGUGGCGAGUGGCGAACGGUAGCGUAAAGUAUCGGAACGUGCCCAGUCGUGGGGGAUAACGUAGCGAAAGUUACGCUAAUACCGCAUACGAUCUAUGGAUGAAAGCGGGGGAUCGCAAGACCUCGCGCGAUUGGAGCGGCCGAUAUCAGAUUAGGUAGUUGGUGGGGUAAAGGCCCACCAAGCCUACGAUCUGUAGCUGGUCUGAGAGGAUGAUCAGCCACACUGGGACUGAGACACGGCCCAGACUCCUACGGGAGGCAGCAGUGGG